ACAGCAGUCGCCGCGGUAAUACGUAGGGUGCAAGCGUUGUCCGGAAUUAUUGGGCGUAAAGAGCUCGUAGGCGGUUUGUCGCGUCUGCUGUGAAAACUGGAGGCUCAACCUCCAGCCUGCAGUGGGUACGGGCAGACUAGAGUGCGGUAGGGGAGAUUGGAAUUCCUGGUGUAGCGGUGGAAUGCGCAGAUAUCAGGAGGAACACCGAUGGCGAAGGCAGAUCUCUGGGCCGUAACUGACGCUGAGGAGCGAAAGCGUGGGGAGCGAACAGGAUUAGAUACCCGCGUAGUCCCUGUCUCUUAUAC
rnacentral:rRNA from 1 species